UGCAGUCGAGCGGACAGAUGGGAGCUUGCUCCCUGAUGUUAGCGGCGGACGGGUGAGUAACACGUGGGUAACCUGCCUGUAAGACUGGGAUAACUCCGGGAAACCGGGGCUAAUACCGGAUGCUUGUUUGAACCGCAUGGUUCAAACAUAAAAGGUGGCUUCGGCUACCACUUACAGAUGGACCCGCGGCGCAUUAGCUAGUUGGUGAGGUAAUGGCUCACCAAGGCGACGAUGCGUAGCCGACCUGAGAGGGUGAUCGGCCACACUGGGACUGAGACACGGCCCAGACUCCUACGGGAGGCAGCAGUAGGGAAUCUUCCGCAAUGGACGAAAGUCUGACGGAGCAACGCCGCGUGAGUGAUGAAGGUUUUCGGAUCGUAAAGCUCUGUUGUUAGGGAAGAACAAGUACCGUUCGAAUAGGGCGGUACCUUGACGGUACCUAACCAGAAAGCCACGGCUAACUACGUGCCAGCAGCCGCGGUAAUACGUAGGUGGCAAGCGUUGUCCGGAAUUAUUGGGCGUAAAGGGCUCGCAGGCGGUUUCUUAAGUCUGAUGUGAAAGCCCCCGGCUCAACCGGGGAGGGUCAUUGGAAACUGGGGAACUUGAGUGCAGAAGAGGAGAGUGGAAUUCCACGUGUAGCGGUGAAAUGCGUAGAGAUGUGGAGGAAC
rnacentral:rRNA from 1 species